rnacentral:rRNA from 1 species
UACAGAGGGGGCAAGCGUUGUUCGGAUUUACUGGGCGUAAAGGGCGCGUAGGCGGCGUGACAAGUCACUUGUGAAAUCUCCGGGCUUAACUCGGAACGGUCAAGUGAUACUGUCGUGCUAGAGUACAGAAGGGGCAACUGGAAUUCUCGGUGUAGCGGUGAAAUGCGUAGAUAUCGAGAGGAACACCUGCGGCGAAGGCGGGUUGCUGGGCUGAUACUGACGCUGAGGCGCGAAAGCCAGGGGAGCGAACGGG